rnacentral:lncRNA from 1 species
AAAGACCUCCUCCAUCAAGAGUUAAUUUCCUUUAUAAAAGCCCUUUUCCUAAAUAUAAUCUUUGUGAGCCCAUAGCAAAGUCGUUGUAAUCCUUGAAGGAAUCACUAAGAAAAGCUUCACCAGUAGCAAAAUCUAGCACAGCUACAUCUAGAUGAGCCAACUUCAGCAAGAACGCCCUAAAAUUAGCUUUAGGCCCCACAUAUGGCCCACUUUAUCAAAGAGUGGAUCCAAUUGGCUCUCUUUUAGCACUCAAUUGUCCCCCCUUGGACCCACAUAAUCUUUUGCGUUGAAGAGUGUGAGCCAUCCAAGUUCCUUGCUGCCAUUCAAAAUGCCCCUCAUGUUAACUAUUAAUAUUCCCCAAAGCACUGUCUAAUGGUCCUAAUGGGAACCAUCAUAACAAGAGUAUACCCCUCAAGCCACCUGAACGAGUCAAUUGUCUCUGUAAUUAUCUUUGCAAGCGAAUCAAACUCA